AAAUUUUUUAAGAAGAUUAACAUUUUUAACAAUAUCGUCUGCUAUUUACAGUCAGAUGUCGGUUGAGCUCGUUUAAAAAACAAACGCACGCGGAACACUCCUCAAUUCAAGUAUAAAUAUCUAAAUACGUAAUUAAAAGUAUGGCUUCUUUUGUUUACUCAAAAAAUCAGAAUAUAAUUAACAAAUUUAUUAUUUAAGUAAGAAAAGGGGGGUGAGCAAUGAGCAUAGGUACUAUUGAUGAAUCAACCUGUAUAAUAUUAUAUGAUAUGCGUGCGAUCGCAUAUUUCAGUGUGUAUGUGUGUGAGUGCGCGCGCAAAGAACAAGAAGCGAUGGAUAAAUAAUAAUAAUAAUAAUAAUAAUAAUAAUAAUGAAAUGAUGAUGAAAAAAAAAUAAUCGACAUUAUUUUCCCGCCAGUCGAUUGUCGCCGUUGCCCGUUGGUCCGAAACUCCCAGUACUCCCACCGAAACGCGUCCGUCGCCGGGCGCGCUCCGGCGGGUGUGCGAGUUCAUUCAUCAGGCACCCGGCACCGAUCGGGCGAGUCGUCCGACGGCGGCGUGUGCUGAAGGAAAAGCGAGCGAGAAAAGAAGAGGAGAAAAAAAAAACCUUAAAAACCGAUCGCGCGUGAGUGUGCGCGCGCCCGCGGUGUGUGCCGUUCAGUCGUAGUCCGAUCGUUUUCGUCGUUGUCGUUUGCCGUUUCUCUAUCCCUCGACUCGUCGUUCAUUUGUUCACGGCGGCGUUUACACCCCCGAAGAAAGACCGCCGGCCAUACAGGAUAUCGUGCUCGUCGCUGUUAGACAAAUCGCCCAUCACAAGAUUAGAACAAUGAAAACAAGCGUUCAGUUAAAAAUUUUCGCUAGAUUUAACUAAAACAAAAAAAGAAAGAAAAACGAGUUUUAUUCAUUGACCAACAUACGAAACCUUAUAAUAUUGUUACCAGACACCGGUGGUAUGAGACCGUAAGCCACCAGGUAUCGAGUUUCGACAGUCGUCUUGCAUUACCACGUGUUCCCACCCAUCAACCCUGAGGAAAUUGUACUCGCAUGACGGAAACAAAUAAGUACCUACUGUUAUAUUUUAUAUAACAUUGCUGCUGCACGCUUUUUUCCCUCUAUAUGCGAUAAUAAGCAUAAGUAAACAUAGAACAACAAAACCAUUUUGCGUAUAUAAGUCAAAGGAUUCCAGGAGGACAAGCACAGUAUUCACAAGACUCUUCUUUUGGACGUAUCAAAGUAUAUUCUAUAAAUUGUUUACAUAACGAGAGCUAUGUAUUCAGAAUUCGAAUGGUUAAACGUCGGUGAAUACUGGUUUCGUAUUGGUGCAUAGAAGUAUUAAUUUUCAAACUUGUCUAGCACCAUUUGAAACCAGUACUUAUUGACGGGAUGUCAACUAGAAGAACUUAUUCAUUUAGUGGAGGUACUUAUUAAGCUAUAUAUUAUACAUAAAAUUGUAUUUUUUUUCUUUCAUACUUUGAUUUGUUUAUAUUCUCAUGAUGUAGUUAA